rnacentral:rRNA from 1 species
UACGAAGGGGGCGAGCGUUGUUCGGAAUCACUGGGCGUAAAGCGUGCGUAGGCUGUCUAGCAAGUUGGAUGUGAAAUCCCGAGGCUUAACCUCGGAAUUGCUUUCAAAACUGCUAGACUCGAAUUCGGGAGAGGAUAGCGGAAUUCCCAGUGUAGUAGUGAAAUACGUAGAUAUUGGGAGGAACACCAGUGGCGCAAGCGGCUAUCUGGACCGACAUUGACGCUGAGGCACGAAAGCGUGGGGAUCAAACAGG